GACGAACGCUGGCGGCGUGCUUAACACAUGCAAGUCGAACGGAAAGGCCCUGCUUUUGUGGGGUGCUCGAGUGGCGAACGGGUGAGUAACAAGUGAGUAACCUGCCCUUGACUUUGGGAUAACUUCAGGAAACUGGGGCUAAUACCGGAUAGGAGCUCCUGCUGCAUGGUGGGGGUUGGAAAGUUUCGGCGGUUGGAGAUGGACUCGCGGCUGAUCAGCUUGUUGGUGGGGUAGUGGCUUACCAAGGCUUUGACGGGUAGCCGGCCUGAGAGGGUGGCCGGGCACAUGAGUACUAAGGUAGGGCCCAGACGCGAACAUGGGACAGCGGUGGGGAGUAUUACGCAGUGGUGGGAAGCGUGUGACAGCGGCGCCGGGUGCGGGAAGACGGCUUUCGGGUGGUGAACGGCUUUCGCCUGUGACGAUGCGUGAGUGACGUUAAUGGGUAAAGAAGCACCGGCUAACUACGUG
rnacentral:rRNA from 1 species